UGUCUUGUUUUCUUAAUAAUCGCUCUGGUUAACUCCUCUCUUUGCCGAUGUUUGUUUUCAGCAAUGAGAUCUUUUUGUUUUCUCUUUUGUUUUCUUCACUGCUGGAAGUCUAAGCACAGAUGCUGUGAUAGACAGACAGGACAAAACUUUCAGCCCGGAGCCGAGAGCCAGUAACACUGUGGUGUUUGUGGUCAGCUUGGAGGACAGAAGCACUGGACAUGUCCUUCCCACUCAUCGUUGCCUUCUCCUACCUCCCUCUUCCGGCGCCUACGGGACUGCCCCGCUGCCACGCGAC